rnacentral:rRNA from 1 species
UAAUAUURAUUGUUWAUUAAAUUUAUUAACACUAUUUAAAAUAAAUUAUUAUAUUUAUAUAGUAUUAAAGGUAUAGAAAUAUUUAUUAAUUAGGUACUGUAAAGGUURAGUAUAUUGUUUUAUAAUUGUUUAGUAGUAGAAUUAUAUUUUCGUACCUUUUGUAUAAUGGUUUAAUGAUAGAUUUAAUUUAAUUAAAAAGUCUCGAAUUAAAAAGAUUUACUUAAUAAUAAAUGUUAACGUGGUAAAGUUAUAUUUUUAAUAUUAAGUGGUAAUGAAAUGUUUUUCGUUUUUUAUGAUAGCUAGUUUAUAAGUGUAGAAUAUUUUAGUAUUGUAAUAUUAAUAUAAUUUUGUAAAUUAUUUUAAUAUUAUUUAUUUUAUAAGGGAUAAGCUUUGUAAAAAAUAUAGAAUUAUUAUAUAUUAURUUKURUUUUUAAGUAGAAUUAAAAUUGUUUUUCUUAUGAAUAUUAAUAUAAAUUAUAUGUUAUAUAAUUAUUCAGAUUAAUAAGCUUAUAAAUAUUUAAUAAUUAUUARUAARUAAAUAUAAUGUUAAUAUGAGUAUUUAAAUAAUUAUUAAAGURUUAURAUUUGUUUAAUUUGUAUAUUUUAAUAAUAAAAAUAAUUAAAAUUAAGUAAAAUAAAGGAAUUUGGCAAAUAUAAAUCUCGCCUGUUUAUCAAAAACAUGUCUCUUUGUAUUUAUUAAAUAAAGAGUUGGGCCUGCUCAGUGAUAUAAAUUUAACAGCUGCGGUAUUUUAACUGUACUAAGGUAGCAUAAUAAUUUGCCUUAUAAAUUGAGGCUAGAAUGAAUGGUUUGACGAAGGUUUAUCUGUCUCUAUUUUAUUUAAUAGAAGUUAAUUUUUUAGUGAAAAAGCUAAAAUAUUUUAAAGGGACGAGAAGACCCUAUUGAGCUUAAAUUUAAUGAUAUUAUGUUUAGUAGUAUUUAAUAAAUUUUAAUUGGGGUGAUUAAGGAAUAAAAUUAUACAUUAAAUAGUAACUUCCUUAACUGUAUAAUACUGUUAGGUUAAGUAACCAAUAAUAUUGCUUAUAAUAAAGUUACCAUAGGGAUAACAGCGUAAUUUAUUUAGAGAGUUCUUAUUGAAAAAUAAGAUUGCGACCUCGAUGUUGGAUUAAAGUAACCUUAAGGUGCAGAAGCUUUAAUGUGGUAAAUCUGUUCGAUUUUUAAAACUUUACAUGAUCUGAGUUCAGACCGGUGUGAGCCAGGUCGGUUUCUAUCUUUUAAAUAGAAGAUUUUUUUUUUAGUACGAAAGGACCAAAAAAAUUAAUAUGAUUAUUU